rfam:Treponema saccharophilum DSM 2985 Tsacc_Contig240, whole genome shotgun sequence.
GCCCGGGUGGCGGAAUUGGCAGACGCGCUAGGUUCAGGUCCUAGUGAGGGCAACUUCAUAGGGGUUCAAGUCCCCUCCCGGGCA